CUGUCUUCUCGGUGCUCCUUGAGUGCUCUCGGUGAGAAAAUAAACGUGGGCAAAAGCGACGAUGUUGGUUUACUUUUUUCAAAAACGGUGGUCGUGACUACAAAGGUGUGUCGUAGAAAAAUCCUCAUCGAACGGGAGAAAAAACGCAUGGAAAAAAGAUGCGUUAAAAAAAGAUGGAGAUUGAACGUUUGCUGUCCGACACCGCCUCGGUUGUGUCCUCCGAUGUCCUACGAUCGAAGUAUACUGCUCGAGUGUUGCAAGGGAAAAAGUCCUGUUUGCCGAUGGUGUAGGGUUUGAGGACGAAUCCUCGUCAUCUGGUGCUGAAACAAUAAAAUCACCUGCCAACAUUUCCGCUUCCAAGAAACUGCGUCGGAAACGUACCUUAAAAGCAAUUGCUAGGAAGCGGUUAAUAGAUCGUUUAUAGCAGUGGUCCCCAGGAUGCUUACUAUGAAGGGCCGCACAGACGUUUUGAGCUGUUGAAGCGGGCCGCAGUAAAUUUGCAAGAUUUGUAGCGGACUUGACAUAAGAAAAUGUUUUUUCGCCAUAUAUAGCAUCUUGUCGGCUCAUUUGGCAGAAAAUAUUCUAUGCUUUUUCCCAAAUAAUCAAGUGACAACUAAUUCUGUAAUUUUGAUCUCAUGUUUUUCAUACUUGUUGUUCGUAGCAAAUAACAAAGGGAUUCUUAAAAACUCUCUAAGCAGCAUCCGCUCGAUAUUCAAAGCAAAAUUCGUUUAAGUUCAACCGUCUAAGACGAAUUAAGUACUCUCCAUUUAA